rnacentral:rRNA from 1 species
UACGUAGGGUCCGAGCGUUGUCCGGAAUUACUGGGCGUAAAGAGCUCGUAGGCGGUUCGUCGCGUCGGCUGUGAAAACCCGGAGCUCAACUCCGGGCCUGCAGUCGAUACGGGCGGACUUGAGUGUUGCAGGGGAGACUGGAAUUCCUGGUGUAGCGGUGAAAUGCGCAGAUAUCAGGAGGAACACCGAUGGCGAAGGCAGGUCUCUGGGCCACUACUGACGCUGAUGCGCGAAAGCUAGGGGAGCGAACGGG